rnacentral:rRNA from 1 species
UACGUAGGCAGCAAGCGUUGUUCGGAGUUACUGGCGUAAAGGGUGCGUAGGCGGCUUCUUAAGUCUGGUGUGAAAUCUCCCGGCUCAACUGGGAGGGUGCGCCGGAUACUGAGGGGCUAGAGUGUGGGAGAGGAAAGUGGAAUUCCUGGUGUAGCGGUGAAAUGCGUAGAUAUCAGGAGGAACACCGGUGGUGUAAACGGCUUCUGGACCAUAACUGACGCUGAGGCACGAAAGCGUGGGUAGCAAACAGG